rnacentral:rRNA from 1 species
CAGUAGCCGCGGUAAUACGGAGGGGGCUAGCGUUGUUCGGAAUUACUGGGCGUAAAGCGCACGUAGGCGGCUUGGUAAGUUAGAGGUGAAAGCCCGGAGCUCAACUCCGGAAUUGCCUUUAAGACUGCCGAGCUAGCAGGUGAGAGAGGUAAGUGGAAUUCCGAGUGUAGAGGUGAAAUUCGUAGAUAUUCGGAAGAACACCAGUGGCGAAGGCGGCUUACUGGCUCAUACUGGACGCUGAGGUGCGAAAGCGUGGGGAGCAAACAGGAUUAGAUACCCCUGUAGUCCCUGUCUCUUAUAC